rnacentral:rRNA from 1 species
CUUUCAACAACGGAUCUCUUGGUUCUGGCAUCGAUGAAGAACGCAGCAAAAUGCGAUAAGUAAUGUGAAUUGCAGAAUUUAGUGAAUCAUCGAAUCUUUGAACGCACAUUGCGCCCUUUGGUAUUCCAAAGGGCAUGCCUGUUUGAGCGUCAUUU